rnacentral:tRNA from 1 species
CCCUCCUUAGCUCAGUGGUUAGAGCACUGGUCUUGUAAAUCAGGGGUCAUGAGUUCGAAUCUCAUAGGGGGCU